rnacentral:rRNA from 1 species
UANCCGGUACUCGCGAAUGCUCUAGAUUAAACGUUGAUCAUGGCUCAGGNCCUGAACGCUGGUCGUGACGAUGCCUAAUACAUGCAAGUCGAGCGAACAGAGAAGGAGCUUGCUCCUUUGACGUUAGCGGCGGACGGGUGAGUAACACGUGGGCAACCUACCUUAUAGUUGGGGAUAACUACUGGAAACGGUAGCUAAUACCGCAUAACGUCGCAAGACCAAAGAGGGGGACCUUCGGGCCUCUUGCCAUCGGAUGUGCCCAGAUGGGAUUAGCUUGUAGGUGAGGUAACGGCUCACCUAGGCGACGAUCCCUAGCUGGUCUGAGAGGAUGACCAGCCACACUGGAACUGAGACACGGUCCAGACUCCUACGGGAGGCAGCAGUGGGGAAUAUUGCACAAUGGGCGCAAGCCUGAUGCAGCCAUGCCGCGUGUAUGAAGAAGGCCUUCGGGUUGUAAAGUACUUUCAGCGGGGAGGAAGGGAGUGAGGUUAAUAACCUCAUUCAUUGACGUUACCCAGCANAAGAAGCUCCGGGGCUAAACUCCGGUAGCCAGUCAGGCCGCCGGUAAAUACGGAGGGUAGCAAAGCGUUUAAUCGGAGAUUACUGGGGCCGUAAANGNGCACGCAGGCGGGACUUGUCAAGUCCUGGAUGUUGAAAUACCCCUCGGGUCACACCUUUGGGAACUUGGUUUUCUAAAUUNGCCG